AUGAACGCUAGCUACAGGCUUAACACAUGCCAGUCGCGGGGCAGCAUGGGGGUUGCUUGCCAUCCCCGAUGGCGACCGGCGCACGGGUGAGUAACGCGUAUCCAACCUGCCCUUCACCACGGGAUAACCCGGCGAAAGUCGGACUAAUACCGUAUGUUGUCCAUUGACGGCAUCCGAUUUGGACGAAAGGCUUGGCGGUGAGGGAUGGGGAUGCGUCCGAUUAGCCAGACGGCGGGGUAACGGCCCACCGUGGCUACGAUCGGUAGGGGUUCUGAGAGGAAGGUCCCCCACACUGGAACUGAGACACGGUCCAGACUCCUACGGGAGGCAGCAGUGAGGAAUAUUGGUCAAUGGGCGUAAGCCUGAACCAGCCAAGUAGCGUGCAGGAUGACGGCCCUAUGGGUUGUAAACUGCUUUUAUGCGGGGAUAAAGUGGCCCACGUGUGGGCUUUUGCAGGUACCGCAUGAAUAAGGACCGGCUAAUUCCGUG
rnacentral:rRNA from 1 species